CGGCACCGCGCAAAAGCGGGCAAACCUUGCAAUUCACAAGAUAAAAGUAGCAAAUGCACAAUUGCAGCACUGUUCGGGCGGUUAGGCUGAUGUCGAAGGUGGAAGAAGAGACCAAAUGAGGACGUUGGCAAAGGAAGAAGAUAAUUUCCGCGAAAUGGGCAGAGCCCGCGCACAUCAGCGCUGUGUUCCAAUUGAUUGCUGCCCUGGAGGAAGGCCCUGCAUACUGAUGACUGCUCAUCAGAUUGCUGUAUUUGUUUAUUAUAAACCACAAACUAUACAUUCAUAUGUACAACAUAUGUGUAUGUGUGUAUGUUUGUGUACGCAAAUGUUUAUAUGAAAGACGCGCGGCAAAGCUUUUGAUUUUAUGCCUUCGAAUAUUGCCACCGAUGACCGAUAUUUGGCUUUUCGAAGUGCGGUUAAAGGCAGACGCACAACCUAGUAAAUAUAAUCUGGCGUUUUAGAAGUUUGUUUGUCGAUACAAGUGGCAUUCUGAUCGGAUUUGCAAUGGAAUUAUUACGUUUUAUUAGAUUAAAAGCGAUAUUUGUGUAUAUUGCAUAUGUAAAUAUGUAUG